CUAGUAAAGUCAGUAGAGUCAGUGACAACAGCAGUUUAACGGUAAUAGGAUUCUUUGCAUCUGAGUUUGUUGUGGGAGUGACAGUCCUCAUAAGAAUGAUUGUCAUGUCUACAAAAGCUGCAAUAUUUCUUUUGGGAGCGAGAUGGCAUAGUCUUCGAGCCAAUAGAUCGAAUAGGCUGAGAGGAUAAUGGUAGAGGUGCCCAGGAAGGUGUGGCUAGAACAAGCUGAGAAUACUGAUGCAAAACCAUAGUCUUCUUGCGAGUCUCAUCAGAUCUAAGCUCGGUAAAGGGUUGGCCACAGUAGGAAAGCGGAUGAACGAUGAAGAGAGAGGCCAUGUAUGCUCUACAGGGAGGAUGAGUCAGAGAAAGUUGACAAAGAACGAAAACGGUCAGGUAGGGACAUUAAAAGGCGGCCGGCAUAGUAGAACAGGUCCAGUAGGAACUCCCACACCCCUCAAACUGGGCUAAGUGAUUCCAUAGAUUUGACAUCUUGCUGUAGAAAUCAAUAAGAGUCUAACCCGAUUCGAAAUGGAUGUGGUGAUGCUCAAGUCCCGACUGAUACUCACUGGCUCCAUCAACUGAAGAAUACCGCUCAUCCAAAUAAUCCUAAACCUCUUUAGCAGUCUCAAAUGGAGUAAAUAGUGAAUGGAUGGAUGGAACUGAAGUGUUGGAGAACCGGGUGAUAAUCUUGGAGUUGUCACUGUCCCAGUCUUCAAGCUUGGAUCGGUACUUGGCAUGAAAGUCAUCAUUAUCUUCAGCGAAAUCGGAAAAGUGGGGUGAUUGUGCAUUUCUUGUGAUAUAUUUUUAGAAUUUCUGGGUUCGAAAGAACCGUUGCAUGGCAAAGGACCAAAGGCGAUAGUUGGAUUCAUCGAGGAUGAUGGAAAUAGGCUGGAAGACUUUCGAUUGGUGCGUGGGCGCGUUGGUUGCACGUGAACUCAUCCUUCUUCUCCUCUGGUGGCGCGUGUCGGCACAUGGAUCUGACAUGCCGAUGAACUAAUAAAGCGUGUGGGCUCGUGUGGGCCCGUGAGGGCUUUGUUGCGAAUUGUUUUUAAUGAUUUGGAAUUGUCUCUUCAAUACGAAAUCAAAGGACGAUUCGGAGAAGAUUUUGACAUGACUUGAGGCCCGACAGUGGCUGGUUUGGUGGUUUUGGACUGGUUUUUGAGCUUUUGAUGGGUUGCAGAGUGUUUAGGCUAUAUCUAAGUAUGAUAGUUGGCGGAUUGUUCUUCGCCAAUGGGUGCCGGAGUAGUGCCAAAGGGUAGCGGAAGAGUUAGGCCAUAGAGCAUGGCUUUGAUACCAUGUUAGAAGAAGUUAAAGAGAGAGAAAUAAUGAGAGAGAGGGGGAAUUUAUGUAUAUUGUAUUCUGUGAGUAAAAUAGUACAGACGAGUCCUCUUUACAUAGAGAAUGAUCAAAAAGUAAUGGUUUACAUUAGGGAUGGCAAUUUCCCCCGUCCCUCUUCCCGCCCCGAUCUAGGUGAAUAUUUUGGGGAUUGGGGAUAAAAAAAAAUUCGGAGACGGGGCGGGGACGAUUUUGUAUAUCUCCCCGCCCCGAUCCCCAAUUCCCGCCCCGAAUUAAGUGCAUAUGUCCAAAAUGUUUGGGCGAAUUGUAUUUGUUAUAAACCUUAGGAAGGUUAAUGUAAUUUACCAAAAAUAAAAUACGUAAUGGUAUUUAUGCAAAUUACAAUGACAAUAGAGGCCAAUCUGGUACUCAAGCACAAUAUAUAUACUCUCCAACCCAUAGAAACCCUAGACCCCAUCCAUUGCGCCGAGUGAAGAGAGAGAGAGAGGUGGAAUCCAGUUCGUGUCUCAGUCCGUACCAGCUUGGAAGUUCCACGAAUCAGCGCCGAUGACCAUUCCAAUGGCGCCGAGGAAGGUCCGGAACGGCGAGCUCAUCGCCUUGGACCACGGUGACGAGGAUGACGACGAGAUGUUGCCGCCGCACGAGAUCGUCGUGAGAGGGUCGGCGAUAUUGCCGAAGACGACCUUCUCGGUGCUCAAAGGCGUCAGGUGGUUGGUAUUCUGCGACGCCACUGUAUGUCUUCGUCUUCAUCUUCAUCAUUGACAUGUCUCUAUUUCUCCAUAUGUUCCCAAACUUAUUUACAAGUAUCUCAGGCGCAUGUGAUUAAUGGGUACCACUGGGGUACCCAUUAAUAGUUACUAAUUGGGCAGAACUUUCUUUUUUAUCAGUGAGCAUGGAUUGAAUUUCUUCCAAUUCUGGUUUAUACCCUCAUUUAAUUUAUUCUCCUUCCUCAUCAAUCCCCUUAUUACAACUGAAGAUCCUAAAAUUCUCGUAAUAUUUAUCGGAUAAUGAGCCAUUAAACGAUACCCCACGCUUGCAGACCUACGUAACCUCAUCCAUGAUCAUCCAAGCACAUAGGGACACAAACAUUCGUUUCACUACACAAUGCAAGCCUAUUGUCUUUAUUUUUGCUUUAUUUCGGUUUCUAUAUCUAGAUCUCGCAUUAAUUAUGAAUUAAUGUCAUCGCUCUCAUAUCUUUUAGUUUU
rnacentral:lncRNA from 1 species